CGGACUUGAGUGACCUCGUCCUCCUCCCAGAGUUCAUUCUCUAUCGAACCGCGGCAUCCUCCUCCCAGCGGUCGUUCAUGUGAUCAAGAAGCCUGUCGCACCUCUUCCCGCAACAGGCUCAUUAG
rnacentral:sRNA from 1 species